UAAUAUCGGUCAUGUUUACCUCGACGAAAUUCUAAUUAGCAGUUUUUACCCUGUUUAUCUGUUUAAGUUAUUCUGUCUCAAAUUUUUAGGUAUCUUGCAAAAAAGUACGUUCAUAAACACAUUAAAAUCCUCUAAAUCAUUAUGAAACCAAAAAAGAUGUAAUAACCAGUCGUAUAUGAACACAUAAAAGUAUAAAAUAGGAUAGGCUACAGUCUGGUACGCAAAUUACGUAGUCUAAACGCAGAUUGCGUUUGAAACGUAGCUUUUAUUGUGUUUGGUUUAACCAAUUGAAAGACAUCAAACGGUCACAUGAUUCCUCAUAAACUUGCUCGUGUGCUGUCACUGCUUUAAAAUGGUUAUUCUUAAAGGAAUUCCCUCUGUACUUACGCCUGAAUUAUUGUAUGUUUUGGCGCAAAUGGGCCAUGGAGAUGAACUAGUUCUUGCAGAUGCAAAUUUUCCAACCUCAUCUGUUUGUAAAUGUGGUCCGGUGGAGAUAAGAGCAGAUGGUGUGCGUAUACCAGAACUUCUGAAGGCAAUCCUGAAGCUUUUUCCUCUUGAUACUUAUGAUGAGUCGGCAGCUGUCAUGGACCUUGUGCCUAGUGACUUAUUAAAGGGGCUGAAAGUGCCGAUAUGGGACCAGUACUCAGAGCUCCUAAAACAAGCAGGAUCAGAUGGUAACAUGAAGCCUGUUGAGCGGUUUGCAUUUUAUGAGCGUGCAAAGAAAGCAUUUGCUGUAGUUGCAACUGGGGAGACUGCACUGUAUGGAAAUCUCAUCAUCAAGAAAGGUGUCAUUCCUCCUGAAGAACAAUGCUAAAAGAAGAGAGCUCUUUGUCAGUGCUAAAAACAUAAGAUGACCAGCUGUUAAUUUGGGGAUGCAUAACUCAUUCCACUUCUCCACGGGAUGCUGUCGUAUCCUACUGUACAAUCUUAUGGGAAAAUGUCACUCAGUAACACCAUAAUAAACGCACCUAAAGGCAUCGCAGAGAAUGGAGAAGAUAUUUUACUGGAACUUUGUCUUCAUACAUUUUGUUUUACCUUUUAUGCAUUUAUUUUGUUAAUUUUUGACUAAUUUAUUAAUUUAUUCAGCUUUAACUGCUAUUUGAGCACUGUGUUUUUGCUACAAGUUCACAUAAAAACUAAAAGUGGCAAAGCCUAUGCUGUUGUAGGGGAUUUUCAUGUGUUUAUGUGCUUGUUAGGUCUAAAGCCAAGAUUUAAGACAAAUAAAUAAACAAACAAUAAAAAAAUAAAUAAACAACAAAUAACAUCAAUAAUACUAAUUUUAAUCUAGAUUUGUUUGCCAAAUACCGGGGCAGCUUCAUUUCUUAACAGGACAUAAUGCUUAGAUAGAACCUGUCUGUGUUUUCUUAUUUAAUUUUAUUUAAUGGUUUAUUUGUGGCACUACGGGUGGAGGUUUAAACACAAUAAAGAUAAUGUUUAAAAAUUCCAAUUCUAAUUAAUUAAAGGAUGAUGUUAA